UAAUUAAAAAGCAAAAUAAGUCAUAGACCCUUGAGUUUACUUCUAUAAUAAUAUUCAUAAUUCACAUUCAGGUGUAUUGUGAACACAGUAAAGCUGCUACUAAGUAAAUGCAUUAUUACUUUAAAAUUAAAUCAAUAUAACAUUAAUACAAUAUGUGUUGUAUUUGUUCACUGGUUUGUCAACUUGUAAGCUGUCUAAUAAUGAUGGCUAUAAUCGCUGCUAUAGUGUUAAUAGUACUGUUCGUUGGUGACUAUAUUAAAAAUUAAAUACCUGAAGUGUCGACAUCAAUUAAGAAGAAAAUAUCAGCUAUAAAUGAUUAAUUGAUGGUACUUGUAAGAUAUUAUGAUAUGUGUAAAUAGUUUUAAAUACUUAAUAAAAUA